UAUUCACAAACUGCUUCUAAUGUUUCCACAAGGAAAACCCAGGUUUUUUUUUAAGACUUCAGGGAGUCAGCACAGAGGAAGUGUUCCUCUUUCCCAGAUCUUUCCACUCCCAUAAAUCCACUUCUUUCCUCAUUGCCCCCAUCUCUGCCUCCUUACUCUACUUCCUGAAGUUACCUGACUAUCAGCAUGGAGGAAGGAGGCAGCGCAGGCCCAACCUCAAACCUCCAGCUGGUGUUCAAGUUCACUACUUCACCAUCAAGUUAAAAAUAAUGGCUGACGCCCAGAAUGCUAAAGCUGGAAUACACUGCAACCACUGUGCCCACCUCCAUUGCAGAGCUGAGGAAACUGAGGCCCAGGAGCUCUGCCUAAGGGUAUACAGUCAAGGACAGUGCAGCCUGGGGUCUGAUACCCAACCAGCUCUGGCUUUCUCCGCAUCAUACAGAGACUAAGAUGGACUCUACUUUGGAUCCUAAGGAAGAAAAUUCUUUAUGUCAGCCAAAGCUCUCAGGAAACCUCUUGUCUAAGGCACCUUCAUUCCCUGGUUGUGCACAGCUCCCCAACGCAGCUGAU